UAGGAUGGUCUAGUAUACAAUAGAUUAUAAUAUAAGAAGAAAUGACCUUAAUCAGGGAAUUAAUAGGUUGUUAGCAAAAAGUAUUACAACAAAUUUACCAAUUUUUAUGGCGAAUAUGUGGAAAUGUAAUGAUCAAGAACAAGGAAGAUGUACGCCACCUUACCCUUGGUAUUGGAUGAUAGGAAGGUUACAAUAUGCUGAAAAGAAAGCAGGAUACAGGCAGUGGACCACAGACGGUUGGAAAGAUUUAGUUGAAAGAAUUACACAAGGAUGGACAUUAGUGGGAAAAGGAUUGGUAAAAACAGUAACUACUGUGAUAGAUGUUGGACAAAAGCUAUUGAAUACAUUAAUGAAAGUGGUUAAAUGGAUCAUUGACAACUGGUAUGUGUUAAUGGUGAGAGAAUUAACAGGUUUUAAUGGAAUACUUAGACACUUGCUAAAAGUUGUUUGCUGCUUUGCCUGCAACGUCCUGAAUGUUAAAAUAACCCAUGAUGAUGAAUCAGAGUUGCAAGAGGCGUUGCUAUCAGAAGACCGGAAAGAUGUGAAUAUAAAAACAUUGAGAGGGACAGAGGUACAGACCUAGCUUCUACUAAACUGUUGAGAAGAAUUCAAAGACUAGUGAGACUGAAGAAGAAAGAAUGGCAAGCAACUACACCAAUGAGACUAUGGCCAAGAUCAGCGGCUCUGACCUUACGGAAAUUAUGGGAAUACUGACGGAGGCAUUUCUGAAUAUGAUGGAGGAGGAAGAGUCCCAAGAGCCCCCCAGGAAGGUGGAGGCCAAGGUCUUGCUGGAGACCCAAAUCCCGACUAUAGAACACUGUAAAGAGUGUGAAAGUGAUGGGAGAGGCCGUACCUUUAUCUGUGAAGAUCCGAAGGGAGAUUACAUAGGAGCAUGCCAACAUGAAAUAACCAAUACACAGCUACUGAAGCAAAAAUUUGGCCAGUACCUUACCAUUGUAAAGCAGAGUACAAAAAAUUGGCCCCAAAAUGAUAUCAUAAGAGAUCCAGUACUAACAGAAGAUGACGUCAAACCAAAAAAGGGAACAUUUUGGGUCAAAGAGUACAUGAAUGUUACUGAAAAAUUGAAGAUAACUAUAAAAGGUGAUGUGUACAUAGAAUUACUGAAGUUUAACAAAAAGACCAAUGCACUUGAAGUGUACAUGCAAAUGAAAAUGAAAGAUUGAUAAGUUUGAUCCAGGAAAUAGCAAGAAGGGGGUGUUUUGGAUAUGGAUAUCGAUUCUGCUAUUUACCUGUUUUAAUGUUAUUUUAUUUUGCUUGCUUUUAGGUGAUGCCAUAUAUGCUUGAAUAUGAAAAUGCUAUAUGAUCUGAAAGAGAGUAAGUGACAUGACAUAAAGCCAAGUAUGGUUACUCAGAAUUCGUGCUCUGCAUUUAACACACCCUGGGCAGUCAUUUAUUCUGCGGCGCCCGGGGAGCAGUUGGGGGUUCGGUAGGGCACCUCAGUCGUGGUAUUGCUGGCCCAAGACUCGAACCCACAACCUUAGGGUUAGGAGUCAAACUCUCUAACCACUAGGCCACGACUUCCCCCUACCUUAAGUACCUAAAAAGCUUUAAAUGAUAUUGAGCUAGUGCAUGUGCUCUGCACAGGUUGAGCCCUACCUGUGCACGUGCCUGGCUAGUGACAUAGCUUAGAUAAAUGUGCAUGACUUCCUUUGGUAUACUGUAAAACAGAAUGAAAUGAGGGAAAAAAAAGUGUGAAUUUAUGAGAAUAAAUGUGUAAAUUUAUGAAAAAUGUUUGCA
ensembl:lncRNA